GUGGGGUGGCGCCCCCCCCCCUUGGUGAAUUGCAUCCUGGAGGAGCCUGUGCGCAAUUAAGCCAAUGCAGAAGACAAAAUGAGGGCCAUGUUUCUGUCCGGAUUGUCUCCUCCUUCCAGAGGAUGGGAAAGAGCUGCAGCUGAGCCAACUCAGAGGGUGGUGACUUUCAGAGAUGUGGCCGUCUAUUUCACGGAGGCACAAGGAGCUCUGCUGGACCCAAAUCAGAGAGCUCUAUAUAGAGAGGUGAUGAUGGAAGAAUUAUGAGAACGUUACCUCCUUAGGAUUUCCGGUUGCAA